AUUGAACGCUGGCGGCAGGCCUAACACAUGCAAGUCGAGCGGAUGAAGGGAGCUUGCUCCUGGAUUCAGCGGCGGACGGGUGAGUAAUGCCUAGGAAUCUGCCUGGUAGUGGGGGAUAACGUCAGGAAACGGGAGCUAAUACCGCAUACGUCCUGAGGGAGAAAGUGGGGGAUCUUCGGACCUCACGCUAUCAGAUGAGCCUAGGUCGGAUUAGCUAGUUGGUGGGGUAAAGGCCUACCAAGGCGACGAUCCGUAACUGGUCUGAGAGGAUGAUCAGUCACACUGGAACUGAGACACGGUCCAGACUCCUACGGGAGGCAGCAGUGGGGAAUAUUGGACAAUGGGCGAAAGCCUGAUCCAGCCAUGCCGCGUGUGUGAAGAAGGUCUUCGGAUUGUAAAGCACUUUAAGUUGGGAGGAAGGGCAGUAAGUUAAUACCUUGCUGUUUUGACGUUACCAGCAGAAUAAGCACCGGCUAACUUCGUG
rnacentral:rRNA from 1 species